AACGAACGCUGGCGGCAUGCCUAACACAUGCAAGUCGAACGAGACCUUCGGGUCUAGUGGCGCACGGGUGCGUAACGCGUGGGAACCUGCCCUUAGGUUCGGAAUAACUCCCCGAAAGGGGUGCUAAUACCGGAUAAUGUCUUCGGACCAAAGAUUUAUCGCCUUUGGAUGGGCCCGCGUUGGAUUAGCUAGUUGGUAGGGUAAAAGCCUACCAAGGCGACGAUCCAUAGCUGGUCUGAGAGGAUGAUCAGCCACACUGGGACUGAGACACGGCCCAGACUCCUACGGGAGGCAGCAGUGGGGAAUAUUGGACAAUGGGCGAAAGCCUGAUCCAGCAAUGCCGCGUGAGUGAUGAAGGCCUUAGGGUUGUAAAGCUCUUUUACCCGGGAUGAUAAUGACAGUAACGGGAGAAUAAGCUCCGGCUAACUCCGUG
rnacentral:rRNA from 1 species